UGAAGCAAGUAAAGCUAAACCCUCGAAU
rnacentral:piRNA from 1 species